CCCUUAGACGUUCUGGGCCGCACGCGCGCUACACUGACCAGUGCAACAAGCAUCCGUCCUUGGCCGACAGGCUCGGGCAAUCUUUGAACGCUGGUCGUGAUGGGGAUAGACUUUUGCAAUUUUUGGUCUUCAACAAGGAAUUCCUAGUAAACGCAAGUCAUCAACUUGCAUUGAUUACGUCCCUGCCCUUUGUACACACCGCCCGUCGCACCUACCGAUUGAAUGGUCCGGUGAAGCCUCCGGAUUGGCGCGCACCUCGGUGCCGCCGAGAAGUUGGCUAAACCUUACCAUUUAGAGGAAGGUGAAGUCGUAACA
rnacentral:rRNA from 1 species